GAGCUCAUCCCCUUCACCUUGCCCCAGAUUGAGCAGCAGGUUCGGAUCCAUGGCCACGGCGGUGUGAGUGCCCCAAUGUAGAUUCAAGACGCUUGAGGUCGGUGCUCAUUGCGGCUCUUACUCUCGUGCCGACGCCAUGGACGAGGAGAGCAUCUCUCUCUCUCUGAUCGUGAAGCAGCCCCAAUCCUAGCCCUUCUUUGGCCAUGGCGACUGAGCAGGCAGGAGGUACGAACCCCUCCUCGCCUCCCAAAACCAACUCCUGGAUUUCCUGUUGAUGACAGAGGAACAAGGAUGACAGUCAUUCAGUACUUGAAGGACAUAUACAACUGCAAUCUGCGUAUUUUAUUCAACUACAUGAUUGACCAACACUCGUUUCUAUGGCAUGGCAGCAGCUUUUGGUUCUGGCGCUCUAUUCUCCAUUGUUGGCAGAAAUUCUCAAAGACAAAGACACACAAUGAAGAUAUGAACUAUUCUGAAAUAUGUUGAACCAAUUAGGACUUCAAAACUAUGAAAAGAAUUUCAAGAAGGGUCUUCUGACUGAUGAAACAUUGCCUUUUAUCAAUGAAAGGUACAUGUUUUUAAUAUUCCAUUGAGUUCCUGCAAUUACAGAAAAGAAUCAAUCUUUUCUAUAACAAAAUGGCUGUAUGCUUACUGAAAUUUACCAUUCAAAAGUACAUAUGUCUUGCAUUAUCCUCCAGUGCACUCAGAGUUAUGAAUAUCGCCCUUGUUCCAAGGCUUGUCAUACUUGAUCACAUUAAAAGAUUUGGAAUUAUUGCAUAAAUUUCCAGUUUCUGGUGCAUUAGUUUCCUUUAUCUAAUAUCCUUUUUUGCAAUUUUGCAAAGAACCUGGGUUGAUAAAAUCAAAUUGAAGUGAUUGUUUGUCUGUUGGCACCAGUUUUUCUCAAGUUACAUAAACUAUGUUCUGGGAAGUCGGUCCAUUCUAGCUCUUAAAUUUUGUAGAUGUCUCUUAGUUUGAUGUUAUGCACAUAUUGUUCGAUGUCGCUUGUGUUCAGGGUUUCUAUUGGGCACAUAAAAAUAAAGGAUGACGCAUGACACAUUUUAGGUGUACAUUUAUUUCAUAGAUUGAAAGACAGCGGUUGUUUUAGAUGGAGAUGUAUCGGUGAUGCGAUCUCCCUGGUUUGCUGCAUCUAUAGUUAGAGAGUAGUCUGUGCCUCUUCAUCGGGCAUCCUCUGGAGCUUCCCCGAGGUGACAAGUGCUUCCCACGGUGUCUCUCUCUGUUCUUAUUGCUACUGCACACAAGCUACUGACCUUGCAGACCAGGACAUACAUCCUGGUGAGCUCCUUGGUCCUUGACUGGUCCAUCACCGAGGUAUGUAUUCACCACUGACUUCUCUCAGAUCAUAUGCAUGCUCCUUAUAAUCUAGGGAUUAUAGUUCUUCAAAAUAACUGUAUUAUCGGGCCGUGAGGGACCGCUGUUGCUAUAGUCUUUGCAUAGAGCUAGAGAAAACAUAUGAGUUCGACAACUUGCGUUGAGGGAAACUGAUGCAAGCGAAGUGUAUAUACGUCACCAGAAAUUUCCAAAGCAUCGGAUGUUCUGAGAUUGAUCAGAUCAAUUCAACUAAACACAUGCUCCCUAAGCCGCGGAACUCGCGAGUGACAAGGAAACAGUUGCUGCCACCUCGCUCCAGAUCGAGCAGCAGGUCUGAGCCACGGUGGCGAGAGCGGCCCGAUGUGCAGGUUCAAGCUGCGUGAAGAGGGAGGGGGUGCUCGCUAUGGCUCUGACCAUGGAGCCAACCCCAUGGACAAGGAAGCUAGUGAAUUAGGUAAGAAGGCCAAGGAAUUGAAGAAGGCAUCGGAAGCCCUUCACCAAGAAGAGAGAAGUGGGAACAAAGGCAGAAAAUGGCGCAAAAACAUGAAGGCUGUCGAGAAGGCUGAGGCUACCUGGGCUUUUACAUUGCUUGAUUACAUUGGAAAACUCAUAUUCGGCAUUGUUGGAUUAAUUGUAUCGAUUGCUUGGGUAGCACAUAUUAUCAUAUAAUUGUAUCUUCUUUCCCGAAUGAGAUCUUCAUAAAGAUGGACAGUGUUUGGGGUCUGCUUGGGACUGCUGCUUUUGCAUUCUUCUGCUAUCUCCUCAUCGCAGUGAUUGCUGGAGAAAUGAUGCUUGGCCUGAAAUUAGUUUUCAUCAGCAUUCACCCAAUAUGGGGAGGAACGUUGAUGAACUCUUUUUUGUUUAAUGUUGGACUGAUCCUACUUUGUUCCAUCAGUGUGAUUCAGUUCUGCGAGACAGCUUUUGCGUACUAUGCACAAGCAACUGCAGCUCAGGAGAUUUUUGGCCACACGCUGCAGUCUCUUCAUGGAAUUAAUUAAGUAUCUCUACAAAUGGUGCAAGUACAAAAGGUGCAGAAGAUUGUAUGCCUGAGUGAUGCUUGCUUAACCAAACUUAAUUUCUUACUAAGAUGGAUUAAGCCUAAGUGGAGGUAGCAGGAUUGAUGUGUGCAAGCUAGAAGCUAAAAUUUGAACUGAGAUAUGUUAUUAUUCAUGCUUGCACUUUCUCAGAUAUUUUAGUUUAUAGGAAGAAUAAUAGCAGAACCAUUUCUUGUUGCCACACAUUGAAGGAACCAACCGGAAAUAA